rnacentral:lncRNA from 1 species
AUUGUUAUCAUUAUGUUUGUCUGGAAAUCAGCAGAAUGGGGGUGUUGAUUUCCAGCGGGUGGGUUUUCCUUUGUCCCUUUUUUUUUUUUUUUUUUUUGUUCUAACCCAGAUUUUCAUGUUUAACAGGCCCACAGCUGAUCCAUCCCCCAGUACACAAUUGAGACAGAGGAGGUUAAAGCACUCUGAACGCAUGGGACCAUAUUGCAGGUCAGAGAAGAAAGCGAGAAUGAAGUUCUGUUUAAAGAAGGUGAUAACAAACGUCCAAGCGCCUCCCAGCACUCCUCCAUGUUCUCCUCCAUCUGCCUUCUCUCCAUUGAUCAGCCUUCCAGGGCAUCAGUCUGUUUAA